AAGGAAUGAUCUAUAUUGAUGACAAUAGCGGAAGCAACAUUGAUGUUCAAAUCAUCGAUCUUGCUAAAACUGAACUUA
rnacentral:snoRNA from 1 species